ACCGGUCGUUGGGCGUCGGUUACGCGGGGGGAUCGACGAUUCUCCUGGCGUUGCUGGGGGCGUCGCUUUGGCUCUGGUACCGGACGACGGGUUCC
rnacentral:tRNA from 1 species